rnacentral:rRNA from 1 species
GAUGAACGCUAGCGGCAGGCUUAACACAUGCAAGUCGAGGGUAUAGGUUUUCGGACCUAGAGACCGGCGCACGGGUGCGUAACGCGUAUGCAAUCUACCUUUCACAGAGGGAUAGCCCAGAGAAAUUUGGAUUAAUACCUCAUAGUAUAGCAGUUUCGCAUGAAACCACUAUUAAAGUAUCAACGGUGAAAGAUGAGCAUGCGUCCCAUUAGCUAGAUGGUAAGGUAACGGCUUACCAUGGCUACGAUGGGUAGGGGUCCUGAGAGGGAGAGCCCCCACACUGGUACUGAGACACGGACCAGACUCCUACGGGAGGCAGCAGUGAGGAAUAUUGGUCAAUGGACGCAAGUCUGAACCAGCCAUGCCGCGUGCAGGAUGACGGUCCUAUGGAUUGUAAACUGCUUUUGUACGAGAAGAAACAACAUUACGUGUAAUGUCUUGACGGUAUCGUAAGAAUAAGGAUCGGCUAACUCCGUGCCAGCCGCCGCCGUAAUAC